GCUCCUCCUCUUCAUUACGUCGGCCGGUGGGCGAGACUGAUCCCGCCCGCCGGCUGUGGAGACCUAAUGCGCAUGCACGUCAAUGCUGCGCAUGCGCAUUAGGGCUCUCCAUAGGAACACAUUGAUAAUAGACAGUCUAGUAGACAGCCACUAGAGGUGGAGUUAACACUGCAAGGUAAUUAUUGCAGUUUAUAAAAAAAACUGCAAUAAUUACACUUGCAUGGUUAAUGGUAGUGGGAGUUGGCACCCAGACCACUCCAAUGGGCAGAAGUGGUCUGGGUGCCUGGAGUGUCCCUUUAACUUGUCACUAUUUUUUCACCAAUUUAUGUCAAUGUUUGUGAUGAGGGGGGAAAAAUUAAAUUUUUACAUGUAUGUUGCAUUUUUUGCUGAGUAUUUCUUACACUUGAUAUGUACCGGGGUCAUAAAAAUCCCCAAAU